GUUGGGAGGAGCUCCAGAUGUUGCCUUCACUGUUUUAGUGAUCAGAUCAUAACAAACUUGUUGAUAUAUAAGCCAGCUUCAUCUACCUGCUGUUAUCAGGUGUGUCUCACCAGCCACUCAGACCUCUAACCAACCAACCAGCCAACCAACACCACCAUGAAGACCCCUGCCACUCUGACCUCCACCCUGCUGGUCUUCAUCUUGGUGAUCGCCCUCGCUGGACACGGGGUGUCGUCCUCCCCCCUCCCGCAGCCCAACAACCGUCAAGGACGCUUUCUCCAAUUUGGAAUUAUCCCAGCUACAACAACUACAACUACAGUAGCACCAGCCACAGGAACAGUGACUACAACCCAACCUCCAGCUCUCACACUGUUCCAAGUGAAUAACGCUGAUGGAAGUGGCUUCAUAGUCUGUGCCCUUACUGGAACAUGUGGCGGGAAGAAGUAGUCUGUUGUUGGUGAUCUACCUUUUGUUUUGCUGUUGUUGGUGAUCUACCUUUUGUUUUCUGUUGUUGGUGACCUGCCUUUUGUUUUGCUGUUGUUGGUGACCUGCCUUUUGUUUUCUGUUGUUGGUGAUCUACCUUUUGUUUUUCUGUUGUAAUAACGAUUGACUUAACGUUGUUUGCUGUUGUUCCACUGUAGUUUCGAGAUAGAUUCAUAUAAUUCAACUUGAACUCAUCAUUGAUUCACUUUGAAGUCAAAAUUGAUUAGACCUCCAUAAGCCAUUGUUAAUUUACCAAACAGUAAACUAGUCAAAAGUAAACACAAAAUAAAUAAUAAUAAAUAAU
rnacentral:lncRNA from 1 species